rnacentral:tmRNA from 1 species
GGGGGUGAUCCGGUUUCGACGGGACAUGUUGAGGUCAGAUCGCGCGUCGUGGAUCCUCGUUGGCCACGUAAAAAACGAGGAAAAAAAGUAAUUGCGAACAACGAUUACGCUCUCGCCGCCUAAUUAACGGCCGCGAUGUCCGCUUGAGGGGGCUCCGCUCGCUCGCUUAAGGGUGCCGAACCGAGCGGGUGGUUGCGGAUAAGCCCGGACGUCGGCGUACCGCUUCCGAGAUCAAAGGCGCCAUACACGCGUAGAAGUUUGGUUGAUUCUGUUUCGGACAGGGGUUCGACUCCCCUCACCUCCACCA